UGUCAUAUCAAUAAGCGGAGGAAAAGAAACCAACCGGGAUUGCCUCAGUAACGGCGAGUGAAGCGGCAAGAGCUCAAAUUUGAAAGCUGGCUCCUUCGGAGUCCGCAUUGUAAUUUGCAGAGGAUGCUUUGGGUGCGGCCCCCGUCUAAGUGCCCUGGAACGGGCCGUCAGAGAGGGUGAGAAUCCCGUCUUGGGCGGGGUGUCCGUGCCCGUGUAAAGCUCCUUCGACGAGUCGAGUUGUUUGGGAAUGCAGCUCUAAAUGGGUGGUAAAUUUCAUCUAAAGCUAAAUACUGGCCGGAGACCGAUAGCGCACAAGUAGAGUGAUCGAAAGAUGAAAAGCACUUUGAAAAGAGAGUUAAACAGCACGUGAAAUUGUUGAAAGGGAAGCGCUUGCGACCAGACUCGCCCGCGGGGUUCAGCCGGCAUUCGUGCCGGUGUACUUCCCCGUGGGCGGGCCAGCGUCGGUUUGGGCGGCCGGUCAAAGGCCCCUGGAAUGUAGUGCCCUCCGGGGCACCUUAUAGCCAGGGGUGCAAUGCGGCCAGCCUGGACCGAGGAACGCGCUUCGGCACGGACGCUGGCAUAAUGGUCGUAAACGACCCGUCUUGAAACACGGACCA
rnacentral:rRNA from 1 species